CGCCCCGGGGGAGCGGGGCCUCGGCUGCGCGCGUGCGCGGGGCGGGGCCUGGGCGGGGCCUUUGCGCGUUGGGGGCGGAGCCUUUGCUUGGGGGCGGGGCCGGGGCGGGGCCAGCGGAGCCUCCUGCAGCCCCGGAACUCCGCCUGCAGACGGCUCAGGUCGUGGUCGCCCGAAGCCUUUCCUCCUGGGUCCCUCACUCACCUGCCUUGCUCGGUCCGUGGGACGCCUUUAGUGUCCGGGAGACUCACAGGUCCCCAAGGCGCGGCCCGAGGCGCACGCCCAGCUUGGAAGAGCAGAGCAGCGCCCCGAGGUGCGGAUGUCACCCUUGCAGGUCGAUUCCCGCCCUGCCUUGGUCCUGUCCAGUGCUGCCACCCGGCGCCGUCCUGAAGGAGCAGCUCAUUGUGCAGACACAGGAUCGGCGUGGUACGGGCAGGUGGCGGCGAGGACCGAACGCACCCGCCCGUCUUCGGCAUGCUGGGUCAUCAUGACCAGCCACCAGGAGUCCUCCAUGUAUGAGGACAGCGAAGCCCACCUGAAGAAAAUGGUGAAGGGGACAUUCGCGAUUGGGGCCAGGACACCAGGAUUAACGUCCCGGAUAAACAGAAGAGACCACAGCUGCCCCACUCCCCAGGGCUGGAGGGUUACCCGGGAGGGCAUGGAUUCACCAGGGGAGGCCUCAGAGCUGCCCCCAUGUUGUCAUGGAGGAGCACUGACAUCACAAGGCAACCGGAAAGAUGAAAAGCAUGGGUUGCCAGAGGACAUCAUUGUCACCACUUGGCAAAAGCUCGACUGCAGUAGGAGGGCACAAAGCCAAUAGAAACCACAGCAAGAGACUAAUGUAGGGCGAGCCUCCCCGUGGUCUUCCUGGAGGCCCUGAAAUGACUCGUGGCCACCGGUUCUAUUCCCAGACUUCCCGGCUGUGUGGCCCUUUUUGGUUAAGCCGAGUUGAGUUGGUUUUGUGUCACCUACAACCGGAAUGAACUAACUUGGUAAUUGUUUGACGUUAUGCAUUUGCUCAUACUUAUGGUUGCUGAACCACAGAAGGGAGAGCUUCUAACUCAAAAAUGCUGGAGAACAGUGCUCUAGAAUAUAGAGAAACAGAAUAAAAGGACUGUGGACGUAGGGGCCA
rnacentral:lncRNA from 1 species